GAUCUUGAAGGUAUCUUUCAAAGCUGAAAGAUGACACAUUACAAGCAAAAGAUGACACAUUACUUUUGUUAAUAAAAUUGUUAUUUGACAAAUCCCAUGCAAUGAAAUUAUUAUUUUUUCCUUCCUGUAUAGAAUAAGCAUCCAAGAGAAAGGUCGCUAAAUUAGUAACUAGGUUAGAAGUAGAUAAUAUUCUGGUCUUAUGAAAUCCACAUUUGCUGUGAUGCCAAAUUAUCUUUUUAGCCAAUUUGAGGGUAGACACAACAUGAGGGCAAUGGUUUACCCACAGCCUGGUUAAAGUGCCAAGGAAGGGGCAUGAUUUGCAUCUACUUUAUUCAUUCUGCCUUCUGUUUAUAGAGACUGUGUCUCUGAGGUGCUCGAAUAAUUUUUCAGACAGUAUCCAAUUAAUCUCUAGCUAUGUAGGUGUCAGCAUUUCAGAUUAAAUUAUCUUCCAGUCACUCCCUGAUUAAAAAGAAAAAGAAGAAGAAAAAAGACGUCAAGCAUGUGACAAAGCAACUUGUCAAAAACGAUUUCUCAGUUGAAGAAGCCUGCAAAAGAAGGGCAAACCACUCCCAUUUGCUUUCACAAGCCCAAGUUUGUGCCUCCCCCAUCCAUGAGAGAUGGCCAUAUUCAACAACUUGGGUUUCCACAUUAUUGGGAAGACCCACAGUAAACAGCGUCUUUUAGGGUGGUGUGCAGGGAACAUAGAACUAAAAUUGGGAACCAAGUAGGGUAUGAUUAGUUAAUUUUACAGAAGUACAGAAGAGCAGUUUAGAAUUAUAAUGAGCGCUUAUGACAAUGAGAGCUUCUUAACGGCUUCUGGAGAGGAGAAUUUUUCUACUGGGGCAACGCUCUUAAGCCUCAUCUUAGUCAGUAAAUCUUUAAUACCUUCCUGUAUAAUAAAGGCUAGAAUAAUUAGAGUGUAAAAAAAAUGUAAUAGCUGUAAGCUAGCUAAGACUGGCUUACUGUGAAGUCGUCCUUUCAAACAUGUGAACGAGUCUGUUAGUUAUUGCUAUGUUCGCACUAGUAUCCUCAGAUUAUUCUCCUUACCCCUCUCGAAUUUACGUUCAGACAGCAAUAAACCAAAAGAGUAACCCUAAAAGAUUCAUUUGAUUAAAAUAGUGCCUUCUAGAAACAUGGUUAUGAAAUCAGUACAGAUGUAAUGUGGGGGGAGUAAUGUUUUAGUAUCACACGAAACAAAAAAAGCUAGACUUGAAAAAGGUUCUGAGGAAUUUAGUUUCAUGAAGACAAUAAGGAAAUACCUCCCUAUAUUUUUAUAUCAUGUUAUUCAUUCGACAAAUAUUUGCUGAGCAUCUACUGAACUAAAUUCCAGCCACCAGGCUGGGUACUGGUCCUAAAAGAUGAAUUUGACAGAUAGGAUACAAAACUGAACGAAAUUUAUAGCUCAGUGGAGAAUACAGACAGAUGGGCAAUUGCAUCUCAGUGUAAUAACUGACGUACACAUUUCACGAUUAUGCAGAUAGAGCCUGGGUGUGGGAUGUUAGGGGACGCUCCCUAGAGGAAGCUUCUAAUGUAAUCUGAGCUAUGAAGGAUGAGCAGGGGUGAGCCAGGUGAAUUCAGGUUCAGGUGGCAGGGUGAAGAUGAGAACGACAUUCUAGGCAAAAAGGUUAUCUUGUAUUUGCAUAUAAAUCAAACUGUUGUCCAAGUAAGGUAUGCACUUCCCCACACCCAGCCCUGUUACUUUGUGGAGCAGAAACAUGGAAACUGUCUUUAGCUUAAAGUCCUGUAGUGAUAUUUCUCCCUGGAAGAUCCAUAGAAUUUUCCAUCACAGUUGCCUCUCCAUGUAGAUGGAGGUUUAAAAAAAAGACAUGCAGAAAAGAAAAACCAUAUAUUCUACAGUAGUGUGAGAGAACACUUGUUCUCUGAGCAAGCAGAGCUGCUGAGAAAAGCAGGAGGGGCUCUCUGGACUGCUGCUGUCAUGCCCGGGCAGGGGCAGAACUGCUAAAAAAAGAGAGGAGAGGAAAAGGAAAUGGAGCCAAAACAUGGGAAGGGUGGCUGGAAGAGUAGAAAAGAGAAAAUUAAAAAGGAGAGUCUUUAUAGUGGCAAAGAGGAUUGACUUAAAAAUGCACUUUGGGGAGUUCCCUCCAUGACACAGCGGAAACGAAUCCAACUAGGAACCAUGAGGUUUCAGGUUCAAUCCCUGGCCUCACUCAGUGGGUUAACGAUCCGGCAUUGCUGUGAGCUGUGGUGUAGGUUGCAGACGCGGCUUGGAUCUGACAUUGCUGUGGCUCUGGCAUAGGCUGGCAGCAAUGGCUCCUAUUAAACCCCUAGCCUGAGAACCUCCAUAUGCCAUGGGUGAGGGCCUAAAAGGACAAAAGACAAAAAAAAAAAAUGUACUUCAGGAGUUCCCUGGUGGCUCAAUGGGUUAAGGAUCUGGCAUUGUCACUGCUAUGGCUUGGGUCACUGCUGUGACACAGGUUUGGUCCCUGGCCCAGGGAACUUACUUGUGCCAUGGGUGCAGCCAAAAAAAAAAAAAAGGCUUCAAAGAAAGAAAUCAUUGCCAGAUUAAUCUUUCUGAAACACUGUUAAGUCUGAGAUAUCCACUGUUCAAAACCUAUCAAUGGAACUCCCAUCACUCCACAAUAGGGCAUUAAUCUACCUUACCCAGCUCAUUAUUUUCCAAAAAUGGCUCUGUUUUGCUAACACAUAACUAUGCUUUUUGGCCUCCCCAUCUGUGUAUGUAUUAUUCUUGCCUAAAGUGAUAUAUAUACUUCAUAAUUCUGCCCUCAAAAACUACCCAUUCAGUAUCUAUUCAGAUAUUACCUCCAUUAUGUAUUAUUCUAAACAGUCCUAUUAAUAUUUGGCUUUGUCUCUUCUACCAGUCUUUAAAUGAAAUUUUACUAACAUAAUCAGCAUCCUUCUAACUUAAAGUCAAUAAAUAUUAAUGCCCAUAUUAAUAAAAUGCUCAAAAAGCUGGGUGAAAAGAAAAUUAAAAAUGGCCUCUGCCCCUAACAAGCUUAUGUGUGAGUAUUCCAUUAACUUAGUGUAGUGAAAUAAACAAAAACAUUUAUUUAUUUAAAAAUUAGGCUUUUUUAAAUGGCGAGGGGAUCCUUGUAUAUGGUAAAAACUGCUAAAAAUACCAAAGGUGAGUGCUGUAAAAAGGCAGGUCUCUCUUUCAAUCCUGAUCCUCAAAUUCUAAAGGACUUCUCUGUAAAUAUAAAACCUCUUAGGAGUUCUUUAACUGUUAAGAGCUAAGUCUCUAUAGGUGAGUGUGAGUUUGUGCACAAAGGCAUCAAAAUAUGCAUACACACACACAUAUAAAUACGCUACUCUCAUUACACUCAACCUGACUUUUCCACUUAAAAACCAUGUAACUAUGUCUAGGAAUCACUCUAUUUAACAUCUAUGUAACGUUCCAACAAAUGGAAACACAAUAUUUAUUAAAGUUUCCUAAUGAUAUAAUCAAAUUAUGGAUCUGUAUUCUGUUGAUACAAAUAAUGUUAAAACCUUGUUCAUGCAUUUUGGAGCGUUUGAGAGAAAGGGCUGAAAUUCUUGUUUUGCAACUUAGAGGCUGUAAGGCUAAGUUAGGCAAGCGACUUCAUUUACUUGAGCUUCUGUUUCCUAGUCUAUAAAAUGAAGGCUAUAAACCUGAGUUUAAAUGUAUAAAGAGUACCAGACAUACAGGAGGCACCCAAAUUAUAUCUCUUAUUUCUGUAAGAUUCUAUUAAGUAUUAUGAGAUGCUGCUCGUGCUAUAAAUCUCAUAGUUCACUGCUAUAUAUAAGCUUUGAAGAAUUAUGUUUUACAGAAAAAUAAAAAUAAACAUAUGGACAUUAGAUCGAUAAACACAAAAAAUAACCCUUUGUCUUGUCUUUCUACUUUGCCUUUUGUUGUUCUUCAUUCUAUAGAUCUGAUUUUCACUAUCUUUCAACUGAAAUAAUUUUUUUUUUUUGGUCUUUCUGUCUUUUCUAGGGCUGCACCCAUGGCAUGUGGAGGUUCACAGACUAGGGGUCUAAUUGGAGCUGUCACCAUCAGCAUAGCCACAGUCACAGCAAUGACAGAUCCAAGCCAUGUGUACAACCUACACCACAGCUCACAGCAAUACUGGAUCGUUAACCCAAUGAGUGAGGCCAGGGAUUGGGAUCAAACCGCAACUUCGUGGUUCCUAGUCGGAUUCGUUAACUACUGAGCCAUAACAGGAACUCCUUAAAUAAUUUUUUUUUAUUUCAAGUUAGCUGUCAACAAAGUGUCUUAGCUUUAGUUUGUCUAUAAAAUGUUAUUUACUCCUUAAGUUUGAACAAUGGUAUUUUCAAGAUGUGGAGUUCUAAGGUGAAAGAUUUCCUUCCUAUCUUUGGUUGCUGAAGUCUGAUUACAUUGCCUAUCAGUAUGGUUUUCCUUGUAUUUAGCUUGCAUGGGUUUAUUGAGCUUAUGUUUGUAAUGGCUGUCUUUACUUAAUUUUGAAGAAAAAAAAAAAAAAGACCGCUAUUUAUUCAAAUAUUUCUUCUGCCUUAUUGUGUUCCCCCUCUCCUAAAGGGACUGUAGUUAUACUUAUAGAAGACUGAUAUUACCCCAUAGCUCUCAAGUAUCUUGUCGCCUUUUUUCACUUUCUUUUAAAUAUUUUAAUAAAGAUAAUUUCUAUUAUCUACCUUAAAAUGCACUAAUUCCUUCUUAUGUUGUAUCCAUUCUGCUGUUAAAUCCAUGGAAUGAAUUCUUCAUAUAUUUUUCAAGUUCACCAUUUUCAUUGGGUUUUUUUGUUUGUUUUGUUUUGUUUCUUGGCUGUGCUACUGCAUGUGGAAGUUCCUGGGCCAGGGAUCAAACCCAUACCACAGCAGCAACCAGAGCCACAGUAGUAAUAACGUCAUAUAUUUAACCCACUGAGACACCAGGGAACUCCUUAACUGAAUUUUUAAACAGUUUCUUUUUUUAUAGUUUGAAUAGUCAUGUGUUGAAUCACAUUGCCUAUCUUUUCUACUAGAUUUGGGGGAAUAUUUAUAGAAGGUAUUUUAAUUCUUUAUCUAAUAAUACUAACAUCUGUUGCCAUUUCUAGGUUAAUGUCUAUUGACUGUCCUUUUGACUGUUAGCCACUUUCUCUUGCUUCAACUCUUUGUUGUUUCUUUUAUGCUGAAUGUAGAGUGCAAAAACGAUCAUAACUGAAAGGAACAACAUAUUCUUUCAGAAAGGGUUCACUCUUGUCACACUGCCAGGUAGGGAUGAAUCAGUCUUUUCUGAAUGUGAGCUUUGUUUAGGCUUUUGACAUCUUUGAUUCAGUUAACUACUGAGGGAAGAAUCAGACUUCCCUUUUAACAGGACUUGAGAACACCAGCAAGACUCUAGAUAUUUAAUUUUGCAUGUAGACCAGGCACCUAGUUUCCACACUGUGGACAAUUUCUCCAUGACUUAUUAACCUUCCUGCCACUUCUUCCCUCCCGGUUGUGGCUCACUGCACACUGGCAAUUCUUUCUGUCCUGCCCCAGCUUCAUACAGAAUCUGCAACACAUGCCAUAAAGCUCUGAGGAGCCUCGAGGGAAUGGCUCUCAGCAUUCCUGCUCUUUCCAAAGUGUUAAGCAUCACUACUUGCACUUGAUAAAGACGAGAGUGCUUCCAGGAGGAUUCUCUCAGCUCUCCUGCUCAUCCACUGCUUUGCAUUCAGUGAAAGCCUACAGUUCUAGCA
rnacentral:lncRNA from 1 species